rnacentral:rRNA from 1 species
CCUGCCAGAGGCCACUGCUAUCGGGGUUUGACUAAGCCAUGCGAGUCGAGAGGUGCAAGACCUCGGCGAACUGCUCAGUAACACGUGGACAAUCUGCCCUGAAGAAGAGGAUAAUCCCGGGAAACUGGGGGUAAUACUCUAUAGUCCGGGAGGACUGGAAUGUUCUCCGGAUGAAAGAUCCGUCGCUUCAGGAUGAGUCUGCGGCCGAUUAGGUAGUUGUUGGGGUAAAAGCCCAACAAGCCCGUAAUCGGUACGGGUUGUGGGAGCAAGAGCCCGGAGAUGGAUUCUGAGACACGAAUCCAGGCCCUACGGGGCGCAGCAGGCGCGAAAACUUUACAAUGCGGGCAACCGUGAUAAGGAAACCCCGAGUGCCACCACAGGGUGGCUGUCCACCAGUGUAAAAAACUGGUGAAGAAAGGGCCGGGCAAGACCGGUGCCAGCCGCCGCGGUAAUACCGGCGGCUCGAGUGGUGGCCGCUUUUACUGGGCUUAAAGGGUCCGUAGCUUGAUUCACAAGUCCCUUGAGAAAUCCAUCGGCUUAACUGAUGGGCGUUCAGGGGAUACUGUGGUUCUAGGGACCGGGAGAGGUGAGAGGUACUGCCGGGGUAGGAGUGAAAUCCUGUAAUCCCGGUGGGACGACCUAUGGCGAAGCAUCUCACCAGAACGGCUCCGACAGUGAGGGACGAAAGCUGGGGGAGCAAAACCGGAUUAGAUACCCGGGUAGUCCCAGCUGUAAACGAUGCGCGUUAGGUGUGUCAGUGAUCACGUGUCACUG